rnacentral:rRNA from 1 species
UACGAAGGGGGCUAGCGUUGCUCGGAAUCACUGGGCGUAAAGGGUGCGUAGGCGGGUCUUUAAGUCAGGGGUGAAAUCCUGAAGCUCAACUCCAGAACUGCCUUUGAUACUGAGGAUCUUGAGUUCGGGAGAGGUGAGUGGAACUGCGAGUGUAGAGGUGAAAUUCGUAGAUAUUCGCAAGAACACCAGUGGCGAAGGCGGCUCACUGGCCCGAUACUGACGCUGAGGCACGAAAGCGUGGGGAGCAAACAGGG